AACCUCCGCAAUGUGAGAAAUCGCGACGGGGGGAUCCCAAGUGCCAUUCUUAACGGGAUGGCUUUUCAUUAGUGUAAAGAGCUUUUGGAAUAAGAGCUGGGCAAGACCGGUGCCAGCCGCCGCGGUAACACCGGCAGCUCUAGUGGUAACAAUUUUUAUUGGGCCUAAAGCGUCCGUAGCCGGUUUAAUAAGUCUCUGGUGAAAUCCUGUAGCUUAACUGUGGGAAUUGCUGGAGAUACUAUUAGACUUGAGACCGGGAGAGGUUAGAGGUACUCCCAGGGUAGAGGUGAAAUUCUGUAAUCCUGGGAGGACCGCCUGUUGCGAAGGCGUCUAACUGGAACGGUUCUGACGGUGAGGGACGAAAGUUAGGGGCGCGAACCGGAUUAGAUACCCGGGUAGUCCUAACUGUAAACGAUGCGGACUUGGUGUUGGGGUGGCUUUGAGCUGCUCCAGUGCCGAAGGGAAGCUGUUAAGUCCGCCGCCUGGGAAGUACGGUCGCAAGACUGAAACUUAGAGGAAUU
rnacentral:rRNA from 1 species